UCUGACUACAACAAGAUCCAUCCAG
rnacentral:piRNA from 1 species